UGAAAAAUGACUUCAGAAACAGGACAUUUCUCCAACUACAAAAAGGCAAGAAUACAGAGCAAAGCGAUGUGUUUCUAGAUGAUUUAGGAGUCUUGCGGCUGAGCUGGAUUGCUGGGAUUCAGGGAUAGUGUAAUACAUUCAGACGCUGGGCAGCCUGACGGAACGAAUCAGCUCCAACAAUCGAGCUGAAACAAGGCAGCGAAAAUAGAAAUCUACAGCUGGACGACAGGAAAGAAGAGAGAAUAUUUAAUUGAAUUCCACCGAGCAACUAUUGAAAAUUAGACUUUUCAAAACGGCCCUUUUAUACAACAGUGAAUCAUUUUUCAGCGUGUUAAACAUCAAAAAUGCUCUAUCUAGCCACCGAUUGAAGGAAAGAACUACAGUAGAGCUAUAACAGAGAGGGCCACUCAAAACUCAAAUCCAGAUUUUGACUAAAGAUACUGUAUGUAAUAUGUUUGACAAAUGACUAAACAUAGAAAAAUGAACUAAAGGAGUCAAAGGCACAUGUAGUGAUAUUUAUUUAGCAGCUAGCAACGGAGUCCAGUUCAGAGGUGUUUCUCCUUUUUAUGAUCA